ACGCAUAUUUAGUGAAUGAGACCCAAUGUUAGGUAGGUUAUUCCAGAGUUUAGGCGCCAGAUAGGAAAAGGAUCUGCCAACCGCAGUUGAUUUUGAUAUUGUAGGUAUUAUCAAAUUGCCUGAAUUUUGAGAACGUAGCGUACGUAGAGGAUUAUAAUGUAAAAGGAGCUCACUCAAAUACUGAGGUGCUAAACCAUUCAGGGCUUUAUAAGUAAUAAGCACGAUGUAUGAAUCUGUAUGAUGUUUGAUAAGGAGCCAGUGCAGUGUUGACAGGACCGGUCAAAUAUGGUCAUACUUCCUGGUUCUAGUAAGAACUUUUGCUGCUGCAUUUUGGACUAGCUGUAGUUUGUUUACUAAGCAUGCAGAACAACCACCUAAUAAAUCAUUACAAUAAUCUAACCUUUGAGGUCAUAAAUGCAUGGAUUAACAUUUCUGCAUUUGACAUUGAGAGGAUAGGCCUUAAAUUCGAUAUAUUUUUGAGAUGGAAAAAUACAGUUUUACAAACGCUAGAAAUGUAGCUUUCUAAGGAAAGAUUGCGAUCAAAUAGCACACCUAGGUUCCUAACUGAUGACGAAGAAUUGACUGAGCAGCCAUCAAGUCUUAGACAGUGUUCUAGGUUAUUACAUGCAGAGUUUUUAAGUCCUAUAAUUAACACUUCUGUUUUUUUCAGAAUUUAGCAGUAAGAAAUUACUUGUCAUCCAAUUUUUUAUCUCGACUAUGCAUUCCAUUAGUUUUUCAAAUUGGUGUGUUUAACCAGGCAGCGAAGAAAUAUAGAGCUGAGUAUCAUCAGCAUAACAGUGAAAGCUAACACCAUGUUUCCUGAUGAUAUCUCCCAAGGGUAAUAUAUAGAGUGUGAAGAGUAGCGGCCCUAGUACUGAGCCUUUAGGUACUCCAUACUGCACUUGUGAUCGAUAUGAUACCUCUUCAUUCACUGCUACGAAUUGAUGGCGGUCAUAUGAGUAAGAUUUAAACCAUGCUAAUGCACUUCCAUUAAUGCCAACAAAGUGUUCAAGUCUAUGCAAAAGAAUGUUGUGGUCAAUUGUGUCAAACGCAGCACUAAGAUCCAAUAGAACUAAUAGAGAGAUAAAACCACGAUCAUAUGAUAAGAGCAGGUCAUUUGUAAUACUAAGGAGAGCAGUCUCAGUACUACGAUACGCUCUAAAUCCUGACUGGAAAUCCUCACAGACACCAUUUUUCUCUAAGAAGGAAUAUAAUUGUGAGGAUACCACCUUUUCUAGUAUCUUGGACAGAAAAGGGAGAUUUGAGAUUGGUCUAUAAUUAAUUAGUUCUUUGGGGUCAAGUUGUGGUGUUUUGAUCAGAGGCUUAAUAACAGCCAGUUUGAAGGUUUUGGGGACAUAUCCUAAUGAAAAUGAGGAACUAAUAAUAGUUAGAAGAGGAUCUAUGACUUCUGGAAGCACCUAUUUUAGGAGCUUAGAUGGGGUCUAACAUACAUGUUGUUGGUUUAGAUGAUUUAACAAGUUUAUACAAUUCUUCCUCUCCUAUAGUACACUGUAAAAAAUAAUUCAGUGGCUUAGUAAAUUUCACAAAAAUAAAGAGCUAUAUUAACUUAAUAAAAUCUUUUGAAAUCAUUUAAGUGAUAUUUUGAGUGGGUCAGAUUAAAAAGAAUAAUUAAAAAUCCAACAAAUAAUUUCUCUAAAAUUUACAUAUAUUAUUUAAGUUUAUGUAAUGAAAAUAAAUAAGUAUUUAACUAACUAAUUAUAUUUUUUAUAUUCCUUCAAUAUUUCUGGUGAAUUCUAAUAGAAAUAUUUGAUAAUUAUUUACUUGUACUGAUCUGUUUUAGAAACUAAACUUAUUAAGUAUUUCCAACCAAUUUUCCUAAAUAAAGUUCCAGCUUAAUAAAUGACAGUUUAAAUAAAUUGAGUAAAUUUCGCGGCUAAAGUGAUCACGUGUGCAGCUCCGCAGGAAAAAAAAAUCUGCUUUCCUCAGCAGCGACGUCGACUAGCCAUACACCUCACAGCUCCUGUUUCGUAGCUUAAUCGAAGUCACCUGAAGGACGGCUUUCCUCAGCAACGGCAAGACCCGCACUCCUCUCAUAUCGUGAAGUUUAACAAGUUUCGCGGCUCAAACAAGAGGCACCUGUCACUGAAGGACUGCUUUUCUCAGCAACGACGUGAACAGCAUUACUCGAAUUUCCUGUAAGUAACGUAGUCCUUUUAUAACUAUGUAUAUUUGCAAAAAUGUUUUCAAAAGUUGAUUAAACAUUGACCGUGUGUACGUGUACAUAACAGUGUAGUUUUCGAAGUUAGUUAGUGGGGUAGCCAUAUGUAUGUUAGUUUUUUUUUUUUUUUUUUUUUUUUUGGAGUGGGUUAACGUUCGUACUAUUUGGAUCACCGUUUAUUUCAACCGCCAUUUGAAAGUCUAACGAUAAGUGUACCGUGGUCCAGCAACUAUAACUAUACAUGCCCAAUGGAAAACGAUUUUGUACAGGUUCCCCUUUGCGGUCAGUGGCUUGUCAAAAGGGAACACAUCAUUUAUGAACUUUCAAAUGACAACAUUCUUUCUUGUAAAAAGCUGUCACGUUGUUGUAAAACAUCAUAAUUACUACACGAACUCAAGUAUGAGCUCUUAAAUCACCACUACAAAUACGCCAUGCAAAAGUAUUUAAAAUGGCGUGGACAUAACAUAGACUGGUGCGUUUUAAUCAGCUCCCACUGUAGGGAGUCGGACAGUUUAAGGCCUGCUCCAUUGUAAAAUCAUUCUAGUGCACUGAAACCUAGAUCACAUACAAUAUCGUUCAAAAGUUUGAAAACCGUAAGCUUUUUAAUGUAACAAAUCCAGACCUGGUGGGUAUUGAAGGACAGCGGAGGCUGGGGGAGGGGUACGUUGUUUUAAUUGAGUAAACUUACUAAAUUUCUUAAGAGUGUGUUUAAAUAUAUUCAUUUUGAUUUGAAAUUAUUUGUAAUAUUUUUGUUCCCUGAAACAGAUCAGUUUAAUUUUCCAUCCUUAAAUAAAUUGAUAGAAAUUUCACAAAUAUAUUAUGUGUAU